GGCGGCUGCCAGCUGCCCUCCUGGAACGCGGCUCCUGCAGGACUUCCCGAAGGCUGCUCUCCGCCGGCUCCAGGUCUGUGGGAGGACCCCCCCCUCCUCCCUCCGCGCCGCGGUGGAGGAGGUUAGGAAAAGCCUGUAAUGCAAUCCUAAACUCGGCUCGCCACUCCCCUGCUCACUUGUCAAAACCCCACGGCAUUCCAAGAUCCCCUCCCCGGUCACUCCCCUCGCCGGGAAAAGGAAACCGCCCUGGGGAGGAUUUCAGGGAGUUUGGGGCUUCUCAUCCAGACACCUUUGUUUACACCGAGGGCUCAGGAGCUUCCUGGGGCAAACCUGGAGCAGGUUAGAGGAAAAAGCGCCCUACCCUAGACCCUCGUUUGCACCAAAAGUUCUCCCUCCGAGCCAUUGCAAGAAGCUCCACCUUCCCACAUCAAUUCACUUCAUGACCACUCCGUUUCAUAAUCCGCGGCAGCCUGAGUUCUUACAGGGGUGGAGCCCCCAGCUAAAAUCACAACCAUCGUAUGGGGCAGGAUGUCAGGGAACUUUCCAGAAAUCCCCGGUCAGAGCCUUUCGGCUGGAGUAACCAAAGUUAACACCGCUGAAUUACAAUCGCCGGUGACUGCACGACUGAAGCAUUUCCUUUAUACCUUCUCCCGCUCCCCUACCCCUCCCACCUUCUGUGGGGUUCAGUCAACAAGCCCUCCCCCAGGAGGCCUGAGUGGGCCUGGGCCCUGCAGCCAUCGCUCCAGCUGCAAACUGAUGAGGAAGCCCGACCCACGAGGCCGAAUUGUUUACAUCACACCCACUGAGGCUUCCUGUCUUAAAUUAAUGGGAACACAAAUAAGACAGGAAAAGAGUGUUUGCUUUUCUUAAAGCAGGGGAGGGGGGCUGGCAGCGGGAG
rnacentral:lncRNA from 1 species